CAAGAGGAGUAGGGGCAGGGAGGUGGCGAUGUGCUCAAAUGUAAAACUUUCUGGAGGGGUGUGGCGAUACGUGGUGGUGGUGGGGUGUGACAGAACAUUUCCUGGGGAGAUGCAGCAUGCAUAUACUUCUCCACCCCUCAUGCCCAGGGAAGAAUCCACAACAGUCGGAAGUGUGGACACCACCAACGCCUGACUCGGUACACACACCAGUGAGGUUUGCUACAUCCACGAGGACAUGGAUGAGGAGUUGCCUACAGGAGAAGAGUGACUCGCAGACAGCUGCCCCACUGAAGCUCACCCCGGCACGGUGACAGCUCACAGAGCUGGGGUGCACUACCUCCUCACCAGGCCGGACAGUGUCCGUUCCAGGUGCCUCCGCUGGGCCCGGCCUCUUCCAGACAGCUCAGCUGGUUUCUGCUUCUUUCAGGCUGCCGGUCUGGUGGAGAGACUUUGCCCCUUGGCUUGUCUGAGGAUCUCCUUGGCACCUCAGUUUCUUCAUCUGAGAGGGACUCUCAGCUUUUGUCAUUUAUGCUGGCAGGGAGAGGCCUCGUGGACCUGGCUUUGAAGAUGGAGAGAAGGCCCUGGGCUAUGGAACGCAGCAGCUUCUGGAAGCUGGAAACCACUCCUUUUCACAGCCAGCAAGAAAACAAAGCUCUCUGGGAACUGCCAGGAACCAGCGUCUGCCAGCAGCCCCCAGGAGCAGGGGCCGGCCUCCACCAGAGCCUCCAAACUGGCUUGAUCCACUAGUUACUCGGGUGGGGUCUCCACCCGGCUUCUGACCCUCAGACAGUAGAGAUGCACAUUUGUGUCCUUUUAAGCCAUGAGAUCUGUGGCUACUCCUUACUGCGCGUGUGGAAAACUAUUAGGGUUGGCUCAGGGCAUAAAGGCACCUGCAGCCAAGACUAACAAUCCGAGUUCCAUUCCCAGGACCCAGGAAAUGACCGACGGGAACCGGCUCCUACACGCUGUGAUCGCCACACGAGACUCCUCUCUGGGGCACGCAGGCAGAGGGUCUACCUGUCAUGGGGGCGAGAAGUCAGGAUGGCAGCCAGACUGCUCCGUCUCCUUCCACGGCUCUGCAGCCUCCAGCUCUCUGCUUUGAUCCGGCGCAGACAAGCCCGGGUGCUCCCUGUCUGUUCCUGUUGCUGGGUCCCAGCCAAGGAUGGAAUGUGGGAGGCCUCUGUGGCUUGGGGCUCCCCACCCUAUCCCAGAGCAACACCUUCUAAAAUUGAGGCAACUUCUGCAGGUGCUUGGGUCCCAUCGCAAAGUAACUUGUUACCCAAAACUUGUUACCUCAG